CGAGAGCCCUCCAGAGCCGAUCUGAGCUCUGCUGGGCGGGAAAGCGGAGACUAAUUCUCAGCGGUCCCGGGCCCAGCGGCUGGGAGGUCCCGCGCUGGUCAAGCAAAGGAGGAGGGCGCAGGGCACGGGGGCGGCGCGCGCCCGGGACAGUUUCCCGUCGGCUUCUCCCGGACUGUCCUACCACUUCCAUCCCGGAGCGGGAUGCUCGUAUCCCCGCGCAAGGCCUCCUGCGGACGUGGAAGAGAUGCUGAGAAAGGCAAGCGGGGUUUCGCUACCGGCUGCCACCCCUCCCGCCCUUUUGGAGAAGGUAGAGCUAAUCAGCAUUUGGCCGAAAUCUUGUGUCCAUGGAACACUUAUUAUUAUUAUUUUUCCUGAAACGCAGGUGAGAGUUGAUGAGGCUCAGCGUCUCCAGAUAAAAGAAGGGACGGAGCUGUAGGUGCGGUGAGGUUUGAAAAGUUGCGGCGGCCCCGGCAGCUGCAGGGGGAGAGGGCGGAGCAGAGCCCAGGCCGCACCAGACUGGCCCUGAGUCUCCAGGGCUCCUCGUCCCCAUGCGCCAGCGUGUCUGAUGCUUCACUGGACCCGGAUCUCUUUCUCAAUGUCAUCUCACAGCCUCUGUCCCUUGGGUAGGGAAUCAGGCUUCUGAGCUAUCAUCUGCUUAAUGCCGUCGUCCUCUGCUUUGGAAAAUAUUUGAAUUGUGAUCUGAUAGAAGACACGAAAAAGUUAGAAUACUGCUAGAUUCCAAAGGAAAAAAAAAGUUUCUUCGUUUACAAGUAGCACUACUGAUGGGAAUUUCUUAAUUAUUAUCAUUUUAAAAAAUACAGAACCAGGUUUGGAUCCUUGAAAACGAAUUGGUCCUCAGCCUUUCAAACACUGGCCAAAAAAAUUUGCAAAAGAAAAACACAGGCAUCAGGUAGCAGGCACAGUAUUAAAAAUUCAGACAGUUUUACUGUUGGAUCUUAAAAAUAUAUUAGAAGGGUGUGACUUUCAUAAAGGACGAGAGAGAAUCAACUUCAUUCUAUUUCGAUGGGUAUUUUCUAGAUAUGCCAGAUAAUUUUGUCUUAUUAUCUCAAAGAUUACUUGUUUCAGCCAUACACCAUGGAGAAAAAAAUGGCAAGGGGUUUGAAUGAUCGUUUCCAGAGCAGUUUUUGGUGGCUGCAGUAGUACUUCCAUUUUACAAAUUCUCUGUGUUAGUCAUUCAUUCAUAUAUUCAUUCACCAAACAUUUAUUAAGGCUCUUCUAUGUGCUGUGUACAGUGCUAGACUUGGGAGAAGAGGGAUAAGUGGUGAGAGGGACAUACAAAAUUGAAUUAGAAAAAUUCACAGUUUAGGGAACUGGAAAUGCUAGGAAGCAGUUGUAAACCACUAUGAUACAUUCUUGUCGUGAGACGCCACCAGGACAGCCCCUGCUACUGGCCGGGAGAGGUACACUGACCACAACUGAGCGUCAGUGUUCAUCUGCGUGGUGGCCUUUGCUCUUUCAAGGCAGCCAUUAUUGGUUCCAUUUUCAACAGGAGGAGGCCAACACUAAAAGUGCAGUGAUGAGCCUCAUGUCUCACAGCCAGUCAGGCUCCUAAUCCAAAAGCCACUGCUAUGACUUGCACUUCCGGACGUUCUGCCAUUUGAUCCCUACAACCUCACUACCUGAAGGACUAUAUUUUGACCAUUCUUAAUGGGCCAGCUUCAAACACUGUCAAGUUUUGAGGAGGGCAGAUGAAGCUGAUGACAGCUCCAAUUCCAGCUAGGGGUGACCUGUCUGUCUGCCUUUUUUGAGCUGUGGAGUGAUCGGAGUCAUAUUUGCUGCCUGUGCAGCACCACAGGCCUGAUGAAAAUGAAAUGGCAACACCAUGCAGAUGGCGAAGCGUAGGUCUCACAAGUGUCCUGGCCACGAAGAUGGAGUCUCAAGUUGUUGCCAAGGAUGGAAUGUAGUGGUGUGAUCUCGGCUCACUGCAAACUCCGCCUCCUGGAUUCAAGCGAUUAUCCUGCCUCAGCCUCCCGAAUAGCUGGGAUUACAGGCAUGCACCACCAUGCCCGGCUAAUUUUUGUAUUUUUAGUAGAGAUGGGGUUUCACCAUGUUGGCCAGGCUGGUCUUGAACUCCUGACCUCAGGUGAUCCACCUGCCUCAGCCUCCCAAAGUGCUGGGAUUACAGGAGUGAGCCACUGUGCCCAUACGCCCCCCCCCUUAAAAUGUAAGUAAAUAUCUUAAGGAAUUUUUAAAAUUAUUUUUCCAGAAUUAUAUUUUCAGGAUUUUGGAUUUUAGGGAUUUUUAUCUUUCAGAAUUUUAAGAUCUGGGAUUGUGUCUUUCAAGAUCCCUUCUUCAGGGACUAUGACAGGCUUCCCUCUAGACAGCGUGGGCUAGGAAGCAUGUUCUGGAAUGUGACAUUUAAGCUGAGAACUGAAUUGUACAAAAAACCUAGCCACGCCAAUUACCCUAAGUGAAUUAAUGCAAAAAUAGAAGUCCAAAUACCACAUGUUCUCACUUAUAAGUGGGAGCCAAGCAUUGGGUACACAGGGACAUAAAGAUGGGAAAAUAGACACUGGGGAUUCCAAAAGGCAGGAGGAAGGGAGAGGGUUGAAAAUCUACCUAUUGGGCACUGUGUUCACUAUUUGGGUGAUAGGAUCAGUUGAAGCCCAAACCUCACCGUCAUGCAAUAAAUCCUUGUAACAAAGCACUCAUGUAGUUCCUGAAUCCAAAAGAAAAAAAAAAAAGAACAAACAAAAACAAUAUUAACUUUGACCCGAAAACCACCUAGCCACAGAAACCAGGGGGCAGUAGUGGAGAAGAGGCCCCAGGAGGAUUCUAGGUGAGACGACUGGACAUGCAGAAGCCCUCCUGGCAAAGGAAGGGGUUUUGUGUUUAGGAAGUGAAAGCCCAGGUAGCUGAGCUGUGGUGAGCCGGGGAGAAUGAAGGGAUGAGACAGGAG